rnacentral:rRNA from 1 species
AGUGAACGCUGGCGGUAGGCCUAACACAUGCAAGUCGAACGGCAGCACAGUAAGAGCUUGCUCUUACGGGUGGCGAGUGGCGGACGGGUGAGGAAUACAUCGGAAUCUACUUUUUCGUGGGGGAUAACGUAGGGAAACUUACGCUAAUACCGCAUACGACCUACGGGUUAAAGCAGGGGAUCUUCGGACCUUGCGCGAUUGAAUGAGCCGAUGUCGGAUUAGCUAGUUGGCGGGGUAAAGGCCCACCAAGGCGACGAUCCGUAGCUGGUCUGAGAGGAUGAUCAGCCACACUGGAACUGAGACACGGUCCAGACUCCUACGGGAGGCAGCAGUGGGGAAUAUUGGACAAUGGGCGCAAGCCUGAUCCAGCCAUACCGCGUGGGUGAAGAAGGCCUUCGGGUCGUAAAGCCCUUUUGUUGGGAAAGAAAAGCAGCAGGUUAAUACCCCGCUGUUCUGACGGUACCCAAAGAAUAAGCACCGGCUAACUUCGUG